rnacentral:rRNA from 1 species
UACAGAGGGUGCAAGCGUUAAUCGGAAUUACUGGGCGUAAAGCGUGCGUAGACGGUUACAUAAGUCGGGUGUGAAAGCCCCGGGCUCAACCUGGGAAUUGCAUUCGAGACUGCGUAGCUAGGGUGCGGAAGAGGGAAGCGGAAUUUCCGGUGUAGCGGUGAAAUGCGUAGAUAUCGGAAGGACACCAGUGGCGAAAGCGGCUUCCUGGUCCAGCACCGACGUUCAGGCACGAAAGCGUGGGGAGCAAACAGG